rnacentral:rRNA from 1 species
GACGAACGCUGGCGGCAGGCCUAACACAUGCAAGUCGAGCGGAUGACGGGAGCUUGCUCCUUGAUUCAGCGGCGGACGGGUGAGUAAUGCCUAGGAAUCUGCCUGGUAGUGGGGGACAACGUUUCGAAAGGAACGCUAAUACCGCAUACGUCCUACGGGAGAAAGCAGGGGACCUUCGGGCCUUGCGCUAUCAGAUGAGCCUAGGUCGGAUUAGCUAGUAGGUGAGGUAAUGGCUCACCUAGGCGACGAUCCGUAACUGGUCUGAGAGGAUGAUCAGUCACACUGGAACUGAGACACGGUCCAGACUUCUACGGGAGGCAGCAGUGGGGAAUAUUGGACAAUGGGCGAAAGCCUGAUCCAGCCAUGCCGCGUGUGUGAAGAAGGUCUUCGGAUUGUAAAGCACUUUAAGUUGGGAGGAAGGGCAGUAAGUUAAUACCUUGCUGUUUUGACGUUACCAACAGAAUAAGCACCGGCUAACUACGUGCCAGCCGCCGCCGUAAUAC